rnacentral:rRNA from 1 species
GACGUAGGGCGCGAGCGUUGUCCGGAUUUAUUGGGCGUAAAGAGCGCGUAGGCGGCUUGUCGCGUCGACUGUGAAAACCCGCGGCUCAACUGCGGGCCUGCAGCCGAUACGGGCAGGCUAGAGUUCGGUAGGGGAGACUGGAAUUCCUGGUGUAGCGGUGAAAUGACGCAGAUAUCAGGAAGAACACCAAUGGCGAAGGCAGCUCUCUGGGACGGUACUGACGCUGAGACGCGAAAGCGUGGGGAGCGAACAGG